CCUACGGGGGGCUGCAGUGGGGAAUAUUGGACAAUGGGGGCAACCCUGAUCCAGCCAUGCCGCGUGUGUGAAGAAGGCCCUCGGGUUGUAAAGCACUUUCAGUGAGGAAGAACGCCUGGUGGUUAAUACCCAUCAGCAAAGACAUCACUCACAGAAGAAGCACCGGCUAACUCCGUGCCAGCAGCCGCGGUAAUACGGAGGGUGCGAGCGUUAAUCGGAAUUACUGGGCGUAAAGCGCGCGUAGGUGGCUUGAUAAGCCGGUUGUGAAAGCCCCGGGCUCAACCUGGGAACGGCAUCCGGAACUGUCAAGCUAGAGUGCAGGAGAGGAAGGUAGAAUUCCCGGUGUAGCGGUGAAAUGCGUAGAGAUCGGGAGGAAUACCAGUGGCGAAGGCGGCCUUCUGGACUGACACUGACACUGAGGUGCGAAAGCGUGGGUAGCAAACAGGAUUAGAUACCCUUGUAGUC
rnacentral:rRNA from 1 species